CUUGAAUUAGUGGAAGGAAAGAAAGGAGGCUUAUGGCCCUAGCUACUUGAGAGGAUAGUGGUUUUGACUAUGGGGGAGGCAUCGAAAGCAUUAGUGGGGUAGUAGCUGCCGUAAAAAGGAGGUUACCUAGGACUGGAAGUGAAGCAAUUGGCCAAGUAUUGACGGUUGGGUAUAGGUUGAAGGAAAGCUGAUGCUUAUUCACCUACAUUCCUGGGUGCUGGCUGCCUAUUCUCUACGUCAUAGCAAGUGAGUCUCCCAGCUAGAAGUAA
rnacentral:lncRNA from 1 species